rnacentral:rRNA from 1 species
UACGAAGGACCCAAGCGUUAUCCGGAUUUAUUGGGUUUAAAGGGUGCGUAGGCGGAUUAUUAAGUCAGUGGUGAAAGCCUGCAGCUUAACUGCAGAACUGCCAUUGAUACUGAUGAUCUUGAGUAUGAUUGAGGUGGGCGGAAUGUGUCAUGUAGCGGUGAAAUGCUUAGAUAUGACACAGAACACCGAUUGCGAAGGCAGCUCACUAAGCCAUAACUGACGCUGAUGCGCGAAAGCUAGGGGAGCAAGCAGG